CGGGUGAGUAACGCGUGGAUAACCUGCCUCAUACAGGGGGAUAACAGUUAGAAAUGACUGCUAAUACCGCAUAAGCGCACAGGACCGCAUGGUCUGGUGUGAAAAACUCCGGUGGUAUGGGAUGGAUCCGCGUCUGAUUAGCUGGUUGGUGAGGUAACGGCCCACCAAGGCGACGAUCAGUAGCCGACCUGAGAGGGUGGCCGGCCACAUUGGGACUGAGACACGGCCCAAACUCCUACGGAAGGCAGCAG
rnacentral:rRNA from 1 species